GCACGCGGGGCAGGUGGGCGGGUGUUUGUUGUUGCCAUUGAGGCCGUUCCGGGAGGAUUCUGUGCUGUUGCUUUUCUCGGUGCCCAGGCUCAUGUCGGCCAAACCUAGCCUCCUGGUUGUUCUCAGCGCUGCUGCUGAAGGUGUAUCUGCACAGUCGUUUUAUCAUUCCUAUACACAAUGUAAUACAGCCUUUAACCUUCAGAUUGCCACUCCAGGGGGGAAGCCGAUGGAUUUUGUGGAGCUGGAUGAGAAUAAUAUACGCUGGAUCCAGGACUUCCGUAUGAAGCCAUACUCAAAUCCAGCUAAGCUGGAGUCGAUUGAUGGUGCAAGGUACAACGCUAUCCUGAUUCCAAACUGUCCUGGUGCUAUGGUAGAUCUUGCAACCAGUGGAUAUCUGGCCAAGAUUCUCCAGCAUUUCUGUGCUGAGAAAAAACCAAUUUGUGUGGUGGGUCAUGGAGUUGCUGCUUUAUGUUGUGCGACUAACCAGGACAAGUCAUGGAUAUUCGAGGGAUACAGCAUCACUGGACCCUCUGUCUUCGAGCUAGUAAGGAGGAAAGAUUUUGCAAGCCUUCCAGUCAUUGUGGAGGAUUUUGUGAAAGACUCGGGAGCCACUUACAGUGCUUCUAAACCUGAUGCUGUACAUGUCGUGAUUGAUAGGCACCUUAUAACUGGACAGAAUGACCAAUCUACUCCCACUGCCAUCCAGAACCUCAUACUUUUCUGUAAUGCAAGAUAGAGGCCAUUUGGCCCAUCGAGUUUGCAUCGAUCCCCUGCAGAGCAUCUCUCCCAGAUCCCCCUCACCUGUAUCCCUGUAACCCCAUAUUUCCCAUGGCCAACCCACCAAGCCUGCACAUCCCUGGACACUACUGGUCAAUUUAACAUGGCCAAUUCACCAAUCGUGCACAUCUUUGAACUGUGGGAGAAGACUGGAGCACCCACUGGAAGCCCACACAGAUAUGGAGAGCUCCACACAGAUAGUCACCCAACGCUGGAAUUGAACCUGGACCCCUGGUGCUGUGAGACCGCUGUUUCGCCUGCGUAGGCCAGAUUGGGAAAGUGUAAAUCUGAUGCUGACUGCUCACUUGCAUCUCUAACAGAAGUUGGUGCAAUUGAUCCCUUACCCUGAUGAAGUUAUUGAGACAAAGCACACUGCAACUUGUUUUGGAGCAUCAUGAACUCCCACUGACCAAGAAACAUUUGUCGAUACAGAUUUGUCACCGUUGACUCUCCAAAUCUCUGAUUUGUGUAAUCCAUGGGGACCCACUAUUGUAAAGCCUGUGAUUCUGA